AUAUCAGAGACGGUGUUAACCUACCAAGAAUGCAUAUCAGACGUGUACGGUCUGCAGGACACAGGAUACGGGCCGCUUGCUCUCACUGGGGUCCGUGCGUCAGCUGAGAGCAGAGGGACGGUGACCAAUAAAUCAAAAUACAUUUAACAUGCAGGAGGCAGCCGUUACCUGUCCAUCAGCUACAUUAGCAUACAAGUUUGCAGCAUAAAGCCUAUAUGAAAGGAAACUUUAAAUGGCAUACAAAGAAAAUAAGACUGAAGAAUUGUAAGGUACAACACUUCAAACUGUCUUAAAUGCACCUUAAGUGCAAAUAGUUUAGCAACAUAGACUGAAGUGAAUGUCAAGACGUUAACACAGUAAAGAUGUGCAAUGAUGACUUCAAAUCACUGAGGUCACGACCAGUGAAACUACAUAAUAGCAUGUAUUACCUGAGCACAUAUCGUCUGUGCUGGAUUGUGUGCUUAAAGGCCUUAGGGCUCUAUUUUUGACUCCUUUUUUUCUCUUGCCAUUGUUUCCACAGGCAAAACUAUAAAUCCAGAUGGCAUGCUGGAUCAACCCGAGUGGAUGAAAAAUAACAGUGGAGGGCCGAAAAGGCUGGGGAAAAAAUAAAUGUAUGAAGGUGGUGAUAGAAUAAGAAUUUCACACCUACAGUACCUACCACACAUGGCUUUCACACAUCGGAUAGGGCUUGGAGAGAAAGCCCAGAUGAACACAAAUCUAAAUGUACCAUUUUAGUAUACAUGACAUUAGCUAAUGUUAUUGUCUUAUGCUUUUCACUGUAAUAUCUAUAUCUUAUCUAUUAUCUUUCAUAUUAAACAAUGCAUCCAAACAAAGAA